ACGUAGGGGGCGAGCGUUAUUCGGAAUUACUGGGCGUAAAGGGUACGUAGGCGGCCCUUCAAGUCUCGUGUCAAAGCCCAGGGCUUAACCGGGGGUCUGCAACUGAGACUGGCGGACUUGAGGGCUGGAGAGGUAAGCGGAAUUCCCAGUGUAGCGGUGAAAUGCGUAGAUAUUAGGAGGAACACCAGUGGCGAAGGCGGCUUACUGGACCGUAACUGACGCUGAGACACGAAAGCGUGGGGAGCAAACAG
rnacentral:rRNA from 1 species